GGCCUACUCUAGCCCAACUACUUAGCUAACACGACAAUUAAAAAUUCACUCGACUUUAAAACUAAAACAUUCUUUCAACUUAGUAUAGGCGAUAGAAAAGAUAUUUUGGCGCGAUAGAGAUCUUGUACCGUAAGGGAAGGCUGAAAUAAUAAUGAAAAACAAAGCAAUACGCAGCAAAGAUAAACCCUUGUACCUUUUGCAUCAUGGUUUAGCAAGAACAACCAAGCAAAACGAACUUAAGCUUGCCAUCCCGAAACCUAAGCGAGCUACUUGCGAGCAGCUAUUUUUGAGCGAACCCGUCUCUGUUGCAAAAGAGUGGGAUGACUCGUUAGUAGAGGUGAAAAGCCAAUCGAGCUGGGUGAUAGCUGGUUGCCUGUGAAAUGAAUCUAAGUUCCCCUUUGACCACUCCCUAUCGGAUACCAAUUUUAACCUUAAUGUGGCAGGUCAAGAGUAAUUUAAAGGGGGUACAGCUCCUUUAAAAAAGAAAACAACCUUCACUAGCGGAUAAUUACCUAUCUUCCUCCUAAACCGUGGGCCUUAAAGCAGCCACCAAUAAUGAGUGCGUCACAGCUCCACAAAACAAAAAUUCAACCAUAAAACGACUCCCUUCUCACUAACAGGUCAACCUAUACUAAUAGGAGAAUUAAUGCUAAAAUGAGUAACUGGGGGCUUCCCCUCUUAAGCGUGAACUUACAUCCUUACAUUAUUAACAGACUGCAACCCAAUAUCUCAACUACUGACAAGAUUAAAAUAUUGAACCUUGCCCUGUUAUACCGACCCAGGAGCGCCUACUAGAAAGAUUAAAAUCUGUAAAAGGAAUUAGGCAAGCCCAAGGCCCGACUGUUUACCAAAAACAUAGCCUUCAGCUGACCAAGUAUUGAAGGUGAUGCCUGCCCAGUGACAUAACGUUUAACGGCCGCGGUAUCCUAACCGUGCGAAGGUAGCGCAAUCAAUUGUCCCAUAAAUCGAGACUUGUAUGAACGGCUAAACGAGGUCUUAACUGUCUCUUACAGAUAAUCAGUGAAAUUGAUCUUCCUGUGCAAAAGCAGGAAUAGACCCAUAAGACGAGAAGACCCUGUGGAACUUAAAAAUCAACAGCCACUGCCCAUAAAAACUAAACCUAACAGGCUCACUACUUGUAAACACUGGCUUACAUUUUUCGGUUGGGGCGACCUUGGAGAAAAACAAAUCCUCCAAAAAUAAGACCACACCUCUUAACCAAGAGCAACCUCUCAACGUACUAACAGUAACCAGACCCAAUAUAAUUGAUCAAUGGACCAAGCUACCCCAGGGAUAACAGCGCAAUCUCCUCUAAGAGCCCACAUCGACGAGGGGGUUUACGACCUCGAUGUUGGAUCAGGACAUCCUAAUGGUGCAGCCGCUAUUAAGGGUUCGUUUGUUCAACGAUUAACAGUCCUACGUGAUCUGAGUUCAGACCGGAGUAAUCCAGGUCGGUUUCUAUCUAUGAUAGACUUUCCCUAGUACGAAAGGACCGGGAAAGUAGGGCCAAUACUACAAGCACGCCCUCUCUUUAAGUAAUGACCUCAACUAAAUUACUAAAAGACCUUCCACCAAAUUCCUAGAAAAGGACCAGCUAG
rnacentral:rRNA from 1 species